AAGCAAGACCGUGAGAUGGAGCAAAACUCAAAAACUUGUCUCAGUUCGGAUUNUAGGCUGAAACUCGCCUACAUGAAGCUGGAGUUGCUAGUAAUCGCGAAUCAGCAUGUCGCGGUGAAUACGUUCCCGGGCCUUGUACACACCGCCCGUCACACCAUGAGAGUUGGCAAUACCCAACGUACGUGAUCUAACCCGCAAGGGAGGAAGCGUCCUAAGGUAGGGUCAGCGAUUGGGGUGAAGUCGUAACAAGGUAAC
rnacentral:rRNA from 1 species